CUUUAAGGACCCUUCCAACCCAACGCAUUUUAGGAUUUUGUGAUCGUUCAGGACCUUUCCAACUCAGUCCUUUCUGUGGUUCUACAAUGUUUAAGGUCCCUUCCAGCCCGACCCAUUGUAUGAUUCCAUGGUUCUAUGGCCUUUAAGGUCCCUUCCAACCCAAACCCGAGCCAUUCUAUAACCCUGUGAUCUUUAAGGACCCUUCCAAGCCAAACCAUUCCAUGUUUCCACGGUUCUGUGAUCUUUAAGGUCCAUUCCAACCAAAACCAUUCUAGGCUUCUCUG
rnacentral:lncRNA from 1 species